CACGUAGGGUGCGAGCGUUGUCCGGAAUUACUGGGCGUAAAGAGCUCGUAGGUGGUUUGUCGCGUUGUUCGUGAAAACUCACAGCUUAACUGUGGGCGUGCGGGCGAUACGGGCAGACUUGAGUACUGCAGGGGAGACUGGAAUUCCUGGUGUAGCGGUGAAAUGCGCAGAUAUCAGGAGGAACACCGGUGGCGAAGGCGGUUCUCUGGGCAUGUCCUGACGCUGAGGAGCGAAAGCGUGGGGAGCGAACAGG
rnacentral:rRNA from 1 species